GAUGAACGCUGGCGGCGUGCCUAAUACAUGCAAGUCGAGCGAACAGACGAGGAGCUUGCUCCUCUGACGUUAGCGGCGGACGGGUGAGUAACACGUGGAUAACCUACCUAUAAGACUGGGAUAACUUCGGGAAACCGGAGCUAAUACCGGAUAAUAUAUUGAACCGCAUGGUUCAAUAGUGAAAGACGGUUUUGCUGUCACUUAUAGAUGGAUCCGCGCUGCAUUAGCUAGUUGGUAAGGUAACGGCUUACCAAGGCAACGAUGCGUAGCCGACCUGAGAGAGUGAUCGGCAACACUGGAACUGAGACACGCACCAGACUACUAAGGGAGGCAGCAGUAGGGAAUAUUCCGCAAUGGGCGAAAGCAUGACGGAGCAACGCCGCGUGAGUGAUGAAGGUCUUCGGAUCGUAAAACACUGUUAUUAGGGAAGAACAAAUGUGUAAGUAACUAUGCACGUCUUGACGGUACCUAAUCAGAAAGCCACGGCUAACUACGUG
rnacentral:rRNA from 1 species